AACAAAACUGACGGCGAUCGUUAUGACGAGAUAGGCCGUUUUGGCGUAUCCCUCUGUGCUGAUGAUUACUUGAUGGGUGGUCUCAAAAGCUGAGCUUAAACUCUCGAUUUCCUGCAGGCGCUUUUUAUAAUAGCUUUAGGUUUUUCGGGAUGCGGAAUCCUUUUUAUAGUUCUGCUGCAGACGUGUUAGACUUUGAAGGUGCUUCUCUUCAAGUGUAACAAAACCUUCUAAGGCCGGAUCAUCAGCUUCGUGGUCAGACAUAUUAUGAGAAUUUGUUAUAAAUUUGUUUGGAGUUUGGCCUUGGUUGGACAUUCUAACAGCACGCGAGUGUGUGUAGAGAAGAGCUGUUAGACAGCCGGUUGUGUUGGUAUUGAUGACUGUGCUCUGUCGGUGUGAGAGCACGUGUUGGGGCAUAAACGGAGACGAUCGCAAUUUGUGUUAGAUAGAGUGAUGAGUGUUAUGCUUUAUAACCAACAAAAACUGCUCUAUACGGCUGUCAUAGUAUGUGGGGCUCUUGGGAGUAGAUAAACGACUGAAAUUAAAAUAUUACAGUUAAAGCUGUAAUUCAUUAGCUUAUAAUGUGUACACUUUACUAUUGUUUAUUAAUUAACUUUAAAAAAAAAUGGGACGCAAUAAGCAGAAAGUAAAAGGGUGGCGAUAUUGUUCCAGUCACUGAAGCUAGUGUACUCUCCUUCAUUCAAACAGCGUUCUUAUAAAAACACACUCCCAUCAUUAAAAUAACUUGAAAUAUAUCUCUCUCAAAAGAGAGAGUGGACUUACUCAACGGGCUUACUAAAAUGUGAACAUCAGUCUGAUUUUUUUUUAAUCCAUUUGCCAUAUAAUAGAUGGCAAUUUGGGAAGGUAGGUAGUGGUCGAUCUUCGCUUAACAAAAACAUGCUGCCAACGUUAUAUUAGCGAGGAACAUAAAAAUUGCAAUAUAGUUUUGGGCAGCCGCAUUCGCAUCCUUUUUUUGAACUGGAAUAAUAAAAGAGCCUUUCCAGAUCAAAAGAAAAUCUAAAGUACACAAAUUAAAAAAUUUAAAAAUCGGUUUACAAAUGGUUGACGCACAAAACAUAAGCACACACCCAGGGAGUCCAUCUGGACUGAGAGAAUAAGUUGGUGUUUUGGUUGCUAAAUCUCUUAAAAGCGAACUCGGUAACUACAAGGGUAAAAUACAAUAUGCCCUAUUUAAGGGAUUAGAGUAAUUAGAAUUAGACCGAGCAGCCGAACUAUAAGUAGUUUGAAAAAACUCAGCAAUUUCAGAAUGCCUCCAUUGAGUUUAAAUGGAUGAUGAAGGCAAUGCCGAUGACUUACGCUUAGCAUUAACAAAGUUGUAAAACUUUUUCGGAUCAUUUAAAAAUUCAAAUUUACAUCGAUUUAGAUACAUAGAAUAACAAUGACUGUUGAGAAAUUUAAUACACAUAAAAAUCAGUUGGCUCACCCGAUUUCUUUUCACUUUUUAUUAGUCUUUGAUGUAAGGUUUAUAAGACUUUCAAAGGCAAUAGUAAGCCAUGGAGGCCUGUUUAGCUUUAAAAGGAAGCCUAUCAGGAACGAAUUGAUUAAAAAAGUAUUUAACACUAAAAUAAUUCAGUGGCACUUUCAAUAUCCAUACAAUAUCAAUUGUAGAAAUCUGUCCUUAUAUAUUGAGAAAUCAUAUCGUUUUAGUCACAUUGACGGAAACAGCUCAUUUUAGUAGGAGAAACUAAAGGAAAUAGGGUAUCAAAGCAGGAGAGGCAAAUUGUCAAUUCCAUUGUUGGAUAAAUUCGGUCUUACUGGCAAUAGAAGCUUGAGACGGGUAUGAAAUAAAGACAAUUUCUUAUAAAGCUUUCUUGCUGCAUAGCGACAAAUGAGUCAGUAGGAGGAGACCAAGAAAAAUUAUACAGAUUAAUAUCACCCAAAACAAUCAAAAGGUCUCUGUUAAACUGAAGAGAUAGAGCAGAUUUUAUUGCAGACAGAUGGGGCUCAAAAAUUAUUAAAUCAGAGUCAGGUGGAAUAAAAGAACAUGUAACAAAAACAGAUAAAGAUUGCAAACAAACUUUCACACUAAGAAAUUCUAUUUUAUUUGGUAUAUGAAUGAGAAUUCUUUCAGAUGUUAGGCUAGAGGUAACGGCAAUUAGCACACCGCCUCCCCUACGUGACUGGGGAUCGGUCCCAUAAGUAUUAAAGUUAUAAGACAGAACUUCAGAAUCGGAUAUCUCUGGUUUCAGCCAAGGAGGAGUCAGCAUAAAGUUUGGGUAGCUUCAUAUUUAAUCCCCUAACAUUUUGAUACGCCAAAAAGAAACUUUUUAGUUUAUUGGCACAGUGGAGGGCCUUUAUUUAUUCUCAGUUUAUUUGAAACAAAUUCUUUAAUUACUAAAUCAUCAUUAAGCCAAAAGCUUUCCGCCUGAUGAGCAAAUAUUUUAAAAGACGAUUUGCUACGAGCGUAUGAAAAUCAAAAUUGUUCAACUGCUAUCUUCGGAUGGGAAUUUUUAACGUAUAAAUUCCAAAACCUCAGAUGUGGUAUCUGGGGUGAAUCUAGAAACAAAUAAUUGCUUCAUUUGUGGAACAACUGAAAGUUUCUUUCGCUCCCCAGCAGCAGUCUGAACCUCACUAGGAUGAUAUCCAGGAACUGUGCCUACUGUACCUAUAGGUAUGGUCGGUACCGAUUUCUUUGACUUAAUCAGUACAGAAGCUAUUAUUCCUGAAACAUGGACUACCGUAGUCGUAUUAACGGUGAUUUGCUACGAGCGUAUGAAAAUCAAAAUUGUUCAACUGCUAUCUUCGGAUGGGAAUUUUUGACGAAUAAAUUCCAAAACCUCAGAUGUGGUAUAUGGGGUGAAUCUAGAAACAAAUAAUUGCUUCAUUUGUGGAACAACUGAAAGUUUCUUUCGCUCCCCAGCAGCAGUCUGAACCUCACUAGGAUGAUAUCCAGGAACUGUGCCUACUGUACCUAUAGGUAUGGUCGGUACCGAUUUCUUUGACUUAACCAGUACAGAAGCUAUUAUUCCUGAAACAUGGACUACCGUAGUCGUAUUAACGGUGGUUAAUCUGGCUUCUUUGGGUUAAUGCGACUAGGUUAAUACUUUUGUAUUAUUUAACUGGGUACAUACGAUAUUGAACCCCUCAAAAGCACCCCUUAACUACCGAGAUAAUGUUUCCAGGCCGAGUACUUUCGGUAAUUUUGCAGUCAAAUAAUGGGCGAGCCAGUUAUCCCCGUUUUGCAAAGACGCGUUGAUGGACUUAUGGAUGGAUGCACUUAUCAUGGAUCAAAUAUCAUCUCCUUACUUGGCUUGGCAAUUAGUAAAACAUGUUCAUGUGAUUGGAGAAGACCACGCAUGGAUUGUUAUAACGCUGAACUAGUGUGUCUCCAUGCCACCGUAUCAUUAGCGGCCGACAAAGGAAUUUGACGAAUGUCGCAAUCUCGACCAGCUGAGAUUCAUUAAGGAAAUGAAACCGUUGAAUAUUGUCCAGCGGGUCAGUUUGAUGAAUUAACCGACACGUGCGUCAGCAAACGUAGACACAGUGGUUGGUAAUGAGGCUGCGGUCACCGGGAACAUUAUUAUUUAGUCUUCAUCUACAGGAUAGUAGGUUCCCAUGUACAGAUCAUCAAAACUGACGGCGAUCUUUAUGACGAGAUAGGCCGUUUUGGCGUAUCCCACUGUGCAGAUGAUUACUUGAUGGGUGGUCUCAAAAGCUGAGCUUAAACUCUCGAUUUCCUGCAGGCGCUUUUUAUAAUAGCUUUAGGUUUUUCGGGAUGCGGAAUCCUUUUUAUAGUUCUGCUGCAGACGUGUUAGACUUUGAAGGCGCUUCUCUUCAAGUGUAACAAAGCCUUCUAAGGCCGGAUCAUCAGCUUCGUGGUCAGACAUAUUAUGAGAAUUUGUUAUAAAUUUGUUUGGAGUUUGGCCUUGGUUGGACAUUCUAACAGCACGCGAGUGUGUGUAGAGAAGAGCUGUUAGACAGCCGGUUGUGUUGGUAUUGAUGACUGUGCUCUGUCGGUGUGAGAGCACGUGUUGGGGCAUAAACGGAGACGAUCGCAAUUUGUGUUAGAUAGAGUGAUGAGUGUUAUGCUUUAUAACCAACAAAAACUGCUCUAUACGGCUGUCAUAGUAUGUGCGGCUCUUGGGAGUAGAUAAACGACUGAAAUUAAAAUAUUACAGUUAAAGCUGUAAUUCAUUAGCUUAUGAUGUGUACACUUUACUAUUGUUUAUUAAUUAACUUUAAAAAAAAAUGGGACGCAAUAAGCAGAAAGUAAAAGGGUGGCGAUAUUGUUCCAGUCACUGAAGCUAGUGUACUCUCCUUCAUUCAAACAGCGUUCUUAUAAAAACACACUCCCAUCAUUAAAAUAACUUGAAAUAUAUCUCUCUCAAAAGAGAGAGUGGACUUACUCAACGGACUUACUAAAAUGUGAACAUCAGUCUGAUUUUUUUUUUAAUCCAUAUAAAUAAUAAUAAAAGAGCCUUUCCAGAUCGAAAGAAAAUCUAAAGUACACAAAUUAAAAAAUUUAAAAAUCGGUUUACGAAUGGUUGACGCACAAAACAUAAGCACACACCCAGGGAGUCCAUCUGGACUGGGAGAAUAAGUUGGUGUUUUUGUUGCUUAAUCUCUUAAAAGCGAACUCGGUAACUACAAGGGUAAAAUACAAUAUGCCCUAUUUAAGGGAUUAGAGUAAUUAGAAUUUGACCGAGCAGCCGAACUAUAAGUAGUUUGAAAAAACUCAGCAAUUUCAGAAUGCCUCCAUUGAGUUUAAAUGGAUGAUGAAGGCAAUGCCGAUGACUUACGCUUAGCAUUAACAAAGUUGUAAAACUUUUUCGGAUCAUUUAAAAAUUCAAAUUUAUAUCGAUUUAGAUACAUAGACGGUUGAGAAAUUUAAUACACAUAAAAAUCAGUUGUCUCACCCGAUUUUUUUCACUUUUUUAAGUCUUUGAUGUAAGGUUUGUAAGACUUUCAAAGGCAAUAGUAAGCCAUGGAGGCCUGUUUAGCUUUAAAAGGAAGCCUAUCAGGAACGAAUUGAUUAAAAAAGUAUUUAACACUAUAAAAUAAUUCAGUGGCACUUUCAAUAUCCAUACAAUAUCAAUUGUAGAAAUCUGUCCUUAUAUAUUGAGAAAUCAUAUCGUUUUAGUCACAUUGACGGAAACAGCUCAUUUUAGUAGGAGAAACUAAAGGAAAUAGGGUAUCAAAGCAGGGGAGGCAAAUUGCCAAUUCCAUUGUUGGAUAAAUUCGGUCUUACUGGCAAUAAAAGCUUGAGACGGGUAUGAAAUAAAGACAAUUUCUUAUAAAGCUUUCUUGCUGCAAAGCGACAAAUGAGUCAGUAGGAGGAGACCAAGAAAAAUUAUAUAGAUUAAUAUCACCCAAAACAACAAAAACAGAUAAAGAUUGCAAAGAAACUUUCACACUAAGAAAAUCAAUUUUAUUUGGUAUAUGAAUGAGAAUUCUUUCAGAUGUUAGGCUAGAGGUAACGGCAAUUAGCACACCGCCUUUUUAGUUUUUUGGCACAGUGGAGGGCCUGUUAUUUGUUCUCGGUUUAUUUGGAACAAAUUCUUUAAUUACUAAACCAUCAUUAAACCAAAAGCUUUCAGAAAGUGAAACAUAAUAAACAUAAGACGGAGCAAAUAUUUUAAAAGAAGAUAUCCUACGAGCAUAUGAAAAUCGAAAUUGUUCAACUGAAAUAUCUUCGAAUCUGUGGUGAAUCUAGAAACAAAUAAUUGCUUCCUUUGUGGAACAACCGAAAGUUUCUUUCGCUCCCCAGCAGCAGUCUGAACCUUACUAGGAUGAUAUCCAGGAACUGUUCCUACUGUACCUAUAGGUAUGGUCGGUACCGAUUUCUUUGACUUAACCAGUACAGAAGCUAUUAUUCCUGAAACAUGGACUACCGUAGUCGUAUUAAUCUGGCUUCUUUGGGUUAAUGCGACUAGGUUAAUACUUUUGUAUUAUUUAACUGGGUACAUACGAUAUUGAACCCCUCAAAAGCACCCCUUAACUGCCGAGAUAAUGUUUCCAGGCCGAGUGCUUUCGGUAAUUUUGCAGUCAAAUAAUGGGCGAGCCAGUUAUCCCCGUUUUGCAAAGACGCGUUGAUGGACUUAUGGAUGGAUGCACUUAUCAUGGAUCAAAUAUCAUCUCCUUACUUAGGCUUGGCAAUUAGUAAAACAUGUUCAUGUGAUUGGAGAAGACCACGCAUGGAUUGUUAUAACGCUGAACUAGUGUGUCUCCAUGCCACCGUAUAAUUAGCGGCCGACAAAGGAAUUUGACGAAUGUCGCAAUCUCGACCAGCUGAGAUUCAUUAAGGAAAUGAAACCGUUGAAUAUUGUCCAGCGGGUCAGUUUGAUGAAUUAACCGACACGUGCGUCAGCAACCGUCGACACGGUGGUUGGUAAUGAGGCUGCGGUCACCAGGAACAUUAUUAUUUAGUCUUCAUCUACAGGAUAGUAGGUUCCCAUGUACAGAUAAUCAAAACUGACGGCGAUCUUUAUGACGAGAUAGGCCGUUUUGGCGUAUCCCUCUGUGCAGAUGAUUACUUGAUGGGUGGUCUCAAAAGCUGAGCUUAAACUCUCGAUUUCCUGCAGGCGCUUUUUAUAAUAGCUUUAGGUUUUUCGGGAUGCGGAAUCCUUUUUAUAGUUCUGCUGCAGACGUGUUAGACUUUGAAGGUGCUUCUCUUCAAGUGUAACAAAACCUUCUAAGGCCGGAUCAUCAGCUUCGUGGUCAGACAUAUUAUGAGAAUUUGUUAUAAAUUUGUUUGGAGUUUGGCUGGUUGGACAUUCUAACAGCACGCGAGUGUGUGUAGAGAAGAGCUGUUAGACAGCCGGUUGUGUUGGUAUUGAUGACUGUGCUCUGUCGGUGUGAGAGCACGUGUUGGGGCAUAAACGGAGACGAUCGCAAUUUGUGUUAGAUAGAGUGAUGAGUGUUAUGCUUUAUAACCAACAAAAACUGCUCUAUACGGCUGUCAUAGUAUGUGGGGCUCUUGGGAGUAGAUAAACGACUGAAAUUAAAAUAUUACAGUUAAAGCUGUAAUUCAUUAGCUUAUGAUGUGUACACUUUACUAUUGUUUAUUAAUUAACUUUAAAAAAAAUGGGACGAAAUAAGCAGAAAGUAAAAGGGUGGCGAUAUUGUUCCAGUCACUGAAGCUAGUGUACUCUCCUUCAUUCAAACAGCGUUCUUAUAAAAACACACUCCCAUCAUUAAAAUAACUUGAAAUAUAUCUCUCUCAAAAGAGAGAGUGGACUUACUCAACGGGCUUACUAAAAUGUGAACAUCAGUCUGAUUUUUUUUUUAAUCCAUUUGCCAUAUAAUAGAUGGCAAUUUGGGAAGGUAGGUAGUGGUCGAUCUUCGCUUAACAAAAACAACUGCCAACGUUAUAUUAGCGAGGAACAUAACAAUUGCAAUAUAGUUUUGGGCAUCCGCCUUCGCAUCCUUUUUUUGAACUGGAAUAAUAAAAGAGCCUUUCCAGAUCGAAAGAAAAUCUAAAGUACACAAAUUAAAAAAUUUAAAAAUCGGUUUACAAAUGGUUGACGCACAAAACAUAAGCACACACCCAGGGAGUCCAUCUGGACUGGGAGAAUAAGUUGGUGUUUUUGUUGCUUAAUCUCUUAAAAGCGAACUCGGUAACUACAAGGGUAAAAUACAAUAUGCCCUAUUUAAGGGAUUAGAGUAAUUAGAAUUUGACCGAGCAGCCGAACUAUAAGUAGUUUGAAAAAACUCAGCAAUUUCAGAAUGCCUCCAUUGAGUUUAAAUGGAUGAUGAAGGCAAUGCCGAUGACUUACGCUUAGCAUUAACAAAGUUGUAAAACUUUUUCGGAUCAUUUAAAAAUUCAAAUUUAUAUCGAUUUAGAUACAUAGACUGUUGAGAAAUUUAAUACACAUAAAAAUCAGUUGGCUCACCCGAUUUUUUUCACUUUUUUAAGUCUUUGAUGUAAGGUUUGUAAGACUUUCAAAGGCAAUAGUAAGCCAUGGAGGCCUGUUUAGCUUUAAAAGGAAGCCUAUCAGGAACGAAUUGAUUAAAAAAGUAUUUAACACUAUAAAAUAAUUCAGUGGCACUUUCAAUAUCCAUACAAUAUCAAUUGUAGAAAUCUGUCCUUAUAUAUUGAGAAAUCAUAUCGUUUUAGUCACAUUGACGGAAACAGCUCAUUUUAGUAGGAGAAACUAAAGGAAAUAGGGUAUCAAAGCAGGGGAGGCAAAUUGCCAAUUCCAUUGUUGGAUAAAUUCGGUCUUACUGGCAAUAAAAGCUUGAGACGGGUAUGAAAUAAAGACAAUUUCUUAUAAAGCUUUCUUGCUGCAAAGCGACAAAUGAGUCAGUAGGAGGAGACCAAGAAAAAUUAUAUAGAUUAAUAUCACCCAAAACAACAAAAACAGAUAAAGAUUGCAAAGAAACUUUCACACUAAGAAAAUCAAUUUUAUUUGGUAUAUGAAUGAGAAUUCUUUCACAUGUUAGGCUAGAGGUAACGGCAAUUAGCACACCGCCUUUUUAGUUUUUUGGCACAGUGGAGGGCCUGUUAUUUGUUCUCGGUUUAUUUGGAACAAAUUCUUUAAUUACUAAACCAUCAUUAAACCAAAAGCUUUCAGAAAGUGAAACAUAAUAAACAUCAGACGGAGCAAAUAUUUUAAAAGAAGAUAUCCUACGAGCAUAUGAAAAUCGAAAUUGUUCAACUGAAAUAUCUUCGAAUCUGUGGUGAAUCUAGAAACAAAUAAUUGCUUCCUUUGUGGAACAACCGAAAGUUUCUUUCGCUCCCCAGCAGCAGUCUGAACCUCACUAGGAUGAUAUCCAGGAACUGUUCCUACUGUACCUAUAGGUAUGGUCGGUACCGAUUUCUUUGACUUAACCAGUACAGAAGCUAUUAUUCCUGAAACAUGGACUACCGUAGUCGUAUUAAUCUGGCUUCUUUGGGUUAAUGCGACUAGGUUAAUACUUUUGUAUUAUUUAACUGGGUACAUACGAUAUUGAACCCCUCAAAAGCACCCCUUAACUGCCGAGAUAAUGUUUCCAGGCCGAGUGCUUUCGGUAAUUUUGCAGUCAAAUAAUGGGCGAGCCAGUUAUCCCCGUUUUGCAAAGACGCGUUGAUGGACUUAUGGAUGGAUGCACUUAUCAUGGAUCAAAUAUCAUCUCCUUACUUAGGCUUGGCAAUUAGUAAAACAUGUUCAUGUGAUUGGAGAAGACCACGCAUGGAUUGUUAUAACGCUGAACUAGUGUGUCUCCAUGCCACCGUAUAAUUAGCGGCCGACAAAGGAAUUUGACGAAUGUCGCAAUCUCGACCAGCUGAGAUUCAUUAAGGAAAUGAAACCGUUGAAUAUUGUCCAGCGGGUCAGUUUGAUGAAUUAACCGACACGUGCGUCAGCAACUGUCGACACGGUGGUUGGUAAUGAGGCUGCGGUUACCAGGAACAUUAUUAUUUAGUCUUUACAGGAUAGUAGGUUCCCAUGUACAGAUAAUCAAAACUGACGGCGAUCUUUAUGACGAGAUAGGCCGUUUUGGCGUAUCCCUCUGUGCAGAUGAUUACUUGAUGGGUGGUCUCAAAAGCUGAGCUUAAACUCUCGAUUUCCUGCAGGCGCUUUUUAUAAUAGCUUUAGGUUUUUCGGGAUGCGGAAUCCUUUUUAUAGUUCUGCUGCAGACGUGUUAGACUUUGAAGGCGCUUCUCUUCAAGUGUAACAAAACCUUCUAAGGCCGGAUCAUCAGCUUCGUGGUCAGACAUAUUAUGAGAAUUUGUUAUAAAUUUGUUUGGAGUUUGGCCUUGGUUGGACAUUCUAACAGCACGCGAGUGUGUGUAGAGAAGAGCUGUUAGACAGCCGGUUGUGUUGGUAUUGAUGACUGUGCUCUGUCGGUGUGAGAGCACGUGUUGGGGCAUAAACGGAGACGAUCGCAAUUUGUGUUAGAUAGAGUGAUGAGUGUUAUGCUUUAUAACCAACAAAAACUGCUCUAUACGGCUGUCAUAGUAUGUGGGGCUCUUGGGAGUAGAUAAACGACUGAAAUUAAAAUAUUACAGUUAAAGCUGUAAUUCAUUAGCUUAUGAUGUGUACACUUUACUAUUGUUUAUUAAUUAACUUUAAAAAAAAAUGGGACGCAAUAAGCAGAAAGUAAAAGGGUGGCGAUAUUGUUCCAGUCACUGAAGCUAGUGUACUCUCCUUCAUUCAAACAGCGUUCUUAUAAAAACACACUCCCAUCAUUAAAAUAACUUGAAAUAUAUCUCUCUCAAAAGAGAGAGUGGACUUACUCAACGGACUUACUAAAAUGUGAACAUCAGUCUGAUUUUUUUUGUAAUCCAUAUAAAUAAUAAUAAAAGAGCCUUUCCAGAUCGAAAGAAAAUCUAAAGUACACAAAUUAAAAAAUUUAAAAAUCGGUUUACGAAUGGUUGACGCACAAAACAUAAGCACACACCCAGGGAGUCCAUCUGGACUGGGAGAAUAAGUUGGUGUUUUUGUUGCUUAAUCUCUUAAAAGCGAACUCGGUAACUACAAGGGUAAAAUACAAUAUGCCCUAUUUAAGGGAUUAGAGUAAUUAGAAUUUGACCGAGCAGCCGAACUAUAAGUAGUUUGAAAAAACUCAGCAAUUUCAGAAUGCCUCCAUUGAGUUUAAAUGGAUGAUGAAGGCAAUGCCGAUGACUUACGCUUAGCAUUAACAAAGUUGUAAAACUUUUUCGGAUCAUUUAAAAAUUCAAAUUUAUAUCGAUUUAGAUACAUAGACUGUUGAGAAAUUUAAUACACAUAAAAAUCAGUUGGCUCACCCGAUUUUUUUCACUUUUUUAAGUCUUUGAUGUAAGGUUUGUAAGACUUUCAAAGGCAAUAGUAAGCCAUGGAGGCCUGUUUAGCUUUAAAAGGAAGCCUAUCAGGAACGAAUUGAUUAAAAAAGUAUUUAACACUAUAAAAUAAUUCAGUGGCACUUUCAAUAUCCAUACAAUAUCAAUUGUAGAAAUCUGUCCUUAUAUAUUGAGAAAUCAUAUCGUUUUAGUCACAUUGACGGAAACAGCUUAUUUUAGUAGGAGAAACUAAAGGAAAUAGGGUAUCAAAGCAGGGGAGGCAAAUUGCCAAUUCCAUUGUUGGAUAAAUUCGGUCUUACUGGCAAUAAAAGCUUGAGACGGGUAUGAAAUAAAGACAAUUUCUUAUAAAGCUUUCUUGCUGCAAAGCGACAAAUGAGUCAGUAGGAGGAGACCAAGAAAAAUUAUAUAGAUUAAUAUCACCCAAAACAACAAAAACAGAUAAAGAUUGCAAAGAAACUUUCACACUAAGAAAAUCAAUUUUAUUUGGUAUAUGAAUGAGAAUUCUUUCACAUGUUAGGCUAGAGGUAACGGCAAUUAGCACACCGCCUUUUUAGUUUUUUGGCACAGUGGAGGGCCUGUUAUUUGUUCUCGGUUUAUUUGGAACAAAUUCUUUAAUUACUAAACCAUCAUUAAACCAAAAGCUUUCAGAAAGUGAAACAUAAUAAACAUCAGACGGAGCAAAUAUUUUAAAAGAAGAUAUCCUACGAGCAUAUGAAAAUCGAAAUUGUUCAACUGAAAUAUCUUCGAAUCUGUGGUGAAUCUAGAAACAAAUAAUUGCUUCCUUUGUGGAACAACCGAAAGUUUCUUUCGCUCCCCAGCAGCAGUCUGAACCUCACUAGGAUGAUAUCCAGGAACUGUUCCUACUGUACCUAUAGGUAUGGUCGGUACCGAUUUCUUUGACUUAACCAGUACAGAAGCUAUUAUUCCUGAAACAUGGACUACCGUAGUCGUAUUAAUCUGGCUUCUUUGGGUUAAUGCGACUAGGUUAAUACUUUUGUAUUAUUUAACUGGGUACAUACGAUAUUGAACCCCUCAAAAGCACCCCUUAACUGCCGAGAUAAUGUUUCCAGGCCGAGUGCUUUCGGUAAUUUUGCAGUCAAAUAAUGGGCGAGCCAGUUAUCCCCGUUUUGCAAAGACGCGUUGAUGGACUUAUGGAUGGAUGCACUUAUCAUGGAUCAAAUAUCAUCUCCUUACUUAGGCUUGGCAAUUAGUAAAACAUGUUCAUGUGAUUGGAGAAGACCACGCAUGGAUUGUUAUAACGCUGAACUAGUGUGUCUCCAUGCCACCGUAUAAUUAGCGGCCGACAAAGGAAUUUGACGAAUGUCGCAAUCUCGACCAGCUGAGAUUCAUUAAGGAAAUGAAACCGUUGAAUAUUGUCCAGCGGGUCAGUUUGAUGAAUUAACCGACACGUGCGUCAGCAACUGUCGACACGGUGGUUGGUAAUGAGGCUGCGGUUACCAGGAACAUUAUUAUUUAGUCUUUACAGGAUAGUAGGUUCCCAUGUACAGAUAAUCAAAACUGACGGCGAUCUUUAUGACGAGAUAGGCCGUUUUGGCGUAUCCCUCUGUGCAGAUGAUUACUUGAUGGGUGGUCUCAAAAGCUGAGCUUAAACUCUCGAUUUCCUGCAGGCGCUUUUUAUAAUAGCUUUAGGUUUUUCGGGAUGCGGAAUCCUUUUUAUAGUUCUGCUGCAGACGUGUUAGACUUUGAAGGUGCUUCUCUUCAAGUGUAACAAAACCUUCUAAGGCCGGAUCAUCAGCUUCGUGGUCAGACAUAUUAUGAGAAUUUGUUAUAAAUUUGUUUGGAGUUUGGCUGGUUGGACAUUCUAACAGCACGCGAGUGUGUGUAGAGAAGAGCUGUUAGACAGCCGGUUGUGUUGGUAUUGAUGACUGUGCUCUGUCGGUGUGAGAGCACGUGUUGGGGCAUAAACGGAGACGAUCGCAAUUUGUGUUAGAUAGAGUGAUGAGUGUUAUGCUUUAUAACCAACAAAAACUGCUCUAUACGGCUGUCAUAGUA